UACAGGGGGUGCAAACGUUGCUCGGAAUCAUUGGGCGUAAAGCGCACGUAGGCGGUUCGUUAUGUCGGAUGUGAAAGCCCUUGGCUUAACCGAGGAAGUGCAUCCGAAACUGGCGAGCUAGAGUACGAAAGAGGAUCGCGGAAUUCCCGGUGUAGAGGUGAAAUUCGUAGAUAUCGGGAAGAACACCGGUGGCGAAGGCGGCGACCUGGUCCUUGACUGACGCUGAGGCGCGAAAGCGUGGGGAGCAAACAGG
rnacentral:rRNA from 1 species